rnacentral:misc_RNA from 1 species
UAUAGGUCUUCAUCUUUCUGUGUGUACUGUUUGUCAGAUUAUCAGAAUGUGGGGGAAAUUGAGAUAGCGUGAACAGCAGAUAUGUAUUGAAUUACAAAAAUGGUCUGCGACAGCAAGGAAACAAAUCAAAAUGAUGAAAAUGUGUGUACUUGGAAGAGAAGGGCGAAACAUAUUUGCACUAUGACUCACAGGGAUUCGAUUGGAAUACGUUGAUUAAGGUGUCUGAAACAGUAUGAUCCAUAAUGUAUUUUGGAUAUAAAAGGAAGAAGAUAAUUUAAUGAGAGUUCAAAUUAAAGAUGGCUUCCCCGGUUUUGCCUAAAGGAGAACAAAAUUUUAUACGUUUCGUAAAAAUAUGUCUAGAUGUCUUAAAAUUGCCGCUUGCAGACACCUUAGCAAGUGAGAUUCAACCAGCUGAUCUGUAUAAUAAGAUACAGCACCACUGUUCGUUACUGAUCGGGAAAAAUAAACUAAGUCCAACACAGAUGACGAUUUGUUACCUUUCACCACCUACAAUACCAAACUACAACAAAUUUGAUGUAACUUUGUUGUACAAAUUGUUACGGAAUUUGUGUCCUUCAUUGGAGCCAACAAAUGGAUGGAGAAAAGACCCAGUGGACGCAGAUAUCCAGAUUGGUGAUGACAUCGAGCGUCUUAGAAUAUUCAGAAACAACAAUGUACAUCAUGGCUCAUCAGAAAUUACUGAUAUUGAUUUUGAGAAAAUUUUGAAGAAACUAAAAUCCGUACUCCAAAGAAUUCAAAACCAUAUGGCAUCUAAAGGAUACAACGUUAACUAUGAAGAAAACAUGAUUAAAAUAAGGCAGCUGGACCUCGGGGAUGAACUCAUCGAUAAGUAUAAGAUUGCAUAUCUUAUGGAAUGCACAAUCGAUCGAUUGAAUCAAGCAGAUGGCAUAGAGGGACCAAUGAUAUCAAUAGAAGGUCAAAAUGAUGUUCUUUGUGGAAAUUCUGCAACAUUUAAUGCAGUUAUUUAUCCAGAAAAUUUGAAAGGUUGGUCCGUUACGUGGCAAAAAAUCGAAAAAUGGACACUCAUUGGCAUCAACACGAACAAUGAGAAAUAUUCCGGAAGCACCGAAAAGAAAAUCGUCAUACAAUCCGUAUGCAAGGAAGAUGAGGGGGAAUACCGGGCCAUUCUCUCAAAGGAUUUGAAAGCAAACAAUAUCAGCGUAUCAAGCAAUGCCAUUGUUCUACAUGCCAUUGGAGACGUUCCUAAUGCUGAGAUUUCAACUGAACGUCCUGUUUAUUUCGGAUCCACAUCACGUUUUAAGUCAAGAAUUGUAUCGUGCCCCUCGCCCGAUGGUGUAGAAUGGCAGCAUAGUAACGAUGGAAAAACGUUUGAAUCCAUUAUCAUCAGCAAACCAAAAUAUUAUGGAAGUAGCUGCGAUCCAAAGUCACCUUUACUUAUAAUACCGAAAGUAUCGUUUGAGGACAGGCUUUAUUAUCGUUUAUUUGUUUGGAAUAAAAUUGGGGAGCAACAUAGUAACACCGUCUUCCUUGAUGUCAAAGGAAGCGUCCCGAAUAUCACGAUCAGUCAUAGAACAUGUGUUUUAAACAGAUCAAUAUCACUGGUUGGCGACGUUUUUGUGUAUGGAGAUCUCCCUGCAAUUCAAAGUGUUUUUUGGACAAAAAAUGGCAAAGAGAUAAACACUGAAGGAAGUGGAGGGAAAUAUACUAAAGUGACGGUAGAUAACCCAUCACUGACCAUCUUUGAAGCAAAUGAAUAUGAUGCUGGUUCGUACCAGCUUACUGCCACUAAUGCUGUGGGAUCGACUUCAAGUGAAUUCCUGAUUCUAGAUGUUCCUGAUGUGUCCAUGGCAAUACAUGAACAGAAAAAUGGUAGGAUUUUGUUCACGGUGACGACAAAAUCAAUUCCAGCACCUUAUUUUGCUCAAUGGAGCAUAAAAAAGAAAUCUGCCGAUACCUUCAUACCUAUAGAUGAACAAGUCGAGGAAUUCAAAGGAACAUCCAACACUCUUCCUCACCCUGUGUUAGUUGUUGAUCCAAAAAUUGAUUUGGAAAACUACUGUUUUCAAGUAGAAGUACGCAAUUUUAUUGGCAGUUGUAAACAAAUCACACCAGUUAAGAAAGAUGAAGCAGGUUCUGGCGAUUUAUCUACAAACGACAAUCAAGGUGGGCGUUUGAGUGAAUUCUACUUAGACGGAGGAGCUGGUUUGAAAUUUGCCAAACUUUUUGAUGACAUUGCAGAACGUUUUCCAGAGAAAAAAACCAAGAGAUUAAAGAAUUUUAUACAAUAUUCUCAUAAAGUUAAAGAUAUGACUCUUUUUGCUCAAACGGUAUCUGCAAGAGAUUGUUUGGAAAUUCUUUGUGACCACAAGCUGUUUACCCCAUGGGACGUGAUUUUUAUGCAGUUUUUGCUGAAAAAUACAGAAUGUAUGGACCUUUUUGAGAAAUGUGUAGAAUAUGCAGAAGCACAUGGGGCAUUAUGUUUUUACGAAAAAGUGCAAGAGAAUGGAUUCAGGAACGUUCAAUUUCACGUGAAUGGAAACAUUUCAUGUUAUACACCAGUUGAGAUCAGAAGAAUUAAAGAAAUAGUUGCUGCUAUUGUUGGAUGUGAAUUAACAGAAAUCGAUGUGAAUGGAUAUCGCCAUUCGUCAAGUUUUUUAGCUGUUCUAUCCAUAGAAAAGAAAUACGUACGAAAGCUCUUGACAAUGAAACAAAAGGAAAAAGACAAACUCAGCAGGCUUAACAUUGACUACUUUAUUGUCGACUUUAUAACAGUCUAUCUACAGAGUCCUAAAGAAAUUAGAGGCGAAGAAAAUAAUGAUGAAUAUCCAAUAAUGUUGCAAAACCUUUUGAAGAUAUCAAAAAAUGAAAGGAUAGAUUGUAGAGAAAAGAAAUCCCAUUUGCUUCUACUGCAAGAAAGUUAUGCUUUACCUAAGGGGGGAAAUGCACAUGGACGUGCUCUGUUUGAAAAACCUUCAACGGAUUUAGAUUCAGAUAUUUCUGACAUGUACAACGCCAUACAAACAGCAAGAAUAAACGUUUCUGCAAAAGAAGUGAAACACAUUUCUUGUUUGAUGUCAAACAGAUUGUGGGUCAGCGAUAUGAAAAAAAUUAAAGAAAUCGAUGAAAAUGGGCGGAUACUUCGGGAACUUAAUUUGUACUUUACAUUAUUUGGCAGUCAUACCUUAACAAAGGGUGGAGAUUUGAUUUUUUUGAAAGAUAAUGAUGUUUACAAGUUGACGUCAAAUGGGGAAAUAAGUAAUCUCUUCAUACACGC